UUUAGGGGUUAGGUUUAGCUUGUAGACGUAUCUUCUCUUUGUGUUGCCACCGCUCUCUUUUAUUGUCAUAAUCUGCCUCUUAUUUCUUUAAAAAUAUUUCUUUAAAAAGCAUGUGUCUUCAUCUUCUCCUUGCUAUCAUCCUCUUCACCAUCUUCACUAGAGGCUUUUAUGGUUGAUGGUGAUAAAAGUGUUGAUAUUAUUUCUUAUGGUGCAAUAUUUAGUCCAUACAAGACUAAUAUUCAACGUGAAUUUAGUGAAUAGGAUCAGAAGUUUGAGACUCAAAGGAAGAGAUCCAAAAGACUCCCCGAAUGUAAAUGGAAUGAUGUUAUUAAUUUAGACGAUUCUGAGGACAAUGACAAAGAAGAGGAAUUAGAAGAUACUUCCGAUUCAAGCACAAACCUGAAAACCCGAUUAAAAAUACCUCAAGUGUCAAUUCAGAAGCGGAACAUAUUUCAUGCAGUCUAAUAUGAAAUCUAUCAAGUGUUUUUAUGAUUUUUUGCAUUUUCAGUUGUUAUGUUUGAU